GGGCGUUUAGCGCAGUGGUAGCGCGUAUGCUUUGCAAAUUCGAACGAAUUCUCUUGGAUUGCUCCUGAUUCAAGAGGAUUCGUUGGGAUUACGUGUGUAUAAGGUCCAGGGUUCAAUCCCCUGAACGUCCA